UGGGGCGUGGCCAAGUGGUAAGGCGGCGGACUUUGGAUCCGCGAUCGGUGGUUCGAAUCCACCCGCCCCAGCCA
rnacentral:tRNA from 2 species